rnacentral:tRNA from 1 species
GCGCGAUUAGUUCAGUGGGAGAGCGCUUCCCUGACACGGAAGAGGUCACUGGUUCAAUCCCAGUAUCGCGCACUA